CCGGCGCACGGGUGAGUAACACGUAUCCAACCUGCCGUCUACUCUUGGACAGCCUUCUGAAAGGAAGAUUAAUACAAGAUGGCAUCAUGAGUUCACAUGUUCACAUGGUUAAAGGUAUUCCGGUAGACGAUGGGGAUGCGUUCCAUUAGAUAGUAGGCGGGGUAACGGCCCACCUAGUCUUCGAUGGAUAGGGGUUCUGAGAGGAAGGUCCCCCACAUUGGAACUGAGACACGGUCCAA
rnacentral:rRNA from 1 species